rnacentral:rRNA from 1 species
GACGAACGCUGGCGGCGUGCUUAACACAUGCAAGUCGAACGGAAAGGCCUCUUCGGGGGUACUCGAGUGGCGAACGGGUGAGUAACACGUGGGUGAUCUGCCCUGCACUUCGGGAUAAGCCUGGGAAACUGGGUCUAAUACCGGAUAGGACCACGGGAUGCAUGUCCUGUGGUGGAAAGCUUUUGCGGUGUGGGAUGGGCCCGCGGCCUAUCAGCUUGUUGGUGGGGUGACGGCCUACCAAGGCGACGACGGGUAGCCGGCCUGAGAGGGUGUCCGGCCACACUGGGACUGAGAUACGGCCCAGACUCCUACGGGAGGCAGCAGUGGGGAAUAUUGCACAAUGGGCGCAAGCCUGAUGCAGCGACGCCGCGUGGGGGAUGACGGCCUUCGGGUUGUAAACCUCUUUCAGCAGGGACGAAGCGCAAGUGACGGUACCUGCAGAAGAAGCACCGGCCAACUACGUGCCAGCAGCCGCGGUAAUACGUAGGGUGCGAGCGUUGUCCGGAAUUACUGGGCGUAAAGAGCUCGUAGGUGGUUUGUCGCGUUGUUCGUGAAAACCGGGGGCUUAACCCUCGGCGUGCGGGCGAUACGGGCAGACUGGAGUACUGCAGGGGAGACUGGAAUUCCUGGUGUAGCGGUGGAAUGCGCAGAUAUCAGGAGGAACACCGGUGGCGAAGGCGGGUCUCUGGGCAGUAGCUGACGCUGAGGAGCGAAAGCGUGGGGAGCGAACAGGAUUAGAUACCCUGGUAGUCCACGCCGUAAACGGUGGGUACUAGGUGUGGGUUUCCUUCCUUGGGAUCCGUGCCGUAGCUAACGCAUUAAGUACCCCGCCUGGGGAGUACGGCCGCAAGGCUAAAACUCAAAGGAAUUGACGGGGGCCCGCACAAGCGGCGGAGCAUGUGGAUUAAUUCGAUGCAACGCGAAGAACCUUACCUGGGUUUGACAUGCACAGGACGCCGGCAGAGAUGUCGGUUCCCUUGUGGCCUGUGUGCAGGUGGUGCAUGGCUGUCGUCAGCUCGUGUCGUGAGAUGUUGGGUUAAGUCCCGCAACGAGCGCAACCCUUGUCUCAUGUUGCCAGCGGGUAAUGCCGGGGACUCGUGAGAGACUGCCGGGGUCAACUCGGAGGAAGGUGGGGAUGACGUCAAGUCAUCAUGCCCCUUAUGUCCAGGGCUUCACACAUGCUACAAUGGCCGGUACAAAGGGCUGCGAUGCCGCGAGGCUUAGCGAAUCCUUUUAAAGCCGGUCUCAGUUCGGAUCGGGGUCUGCAACUCGACCCCGUGAAGUCGGAGUCGCUAGUAAUCGCAGAUCAGCAACGUUGCGGUGAAUACGUUCCCGGGCCU